AAUCCAAUAGGCAGACCGAAUUAAGGCGAGGCUACAAGUUUAUAAAAGGAAAGCUGAAGCCGAACAAAUAAGCAGUCAGACUGAGACAUAGCCCAUAUAAGGCUCGACAAGAAAACAAGAAAUUAAGUCCGACUUCACAAAGGAGCUCGGGGCACCAAAGUGAAGAAAGUGAAAUUCCGAACUCCCGAGCUCACGAUACAGGCAGCGUCACAGGCUACAGGCAUAAAAGCCUAGGCAAAAAGCAAAAAACCGAUCUCCCAGCUCGGAUGAACUCGCAACAUGAAUAAAGAUAAGUAUAGAAGAAAUAACAGAGAACCGAGCUCCCUCUAUGAAAAGGCCCACAAAUGCAGAAACACAUAAAAGGAUAAACGAAGGCAAAGGACCGUGCUCACAGCUCGGGUUAACUCAGCAUAAACA
rnacentral:lncRNA from 1 species